rnacentral:rRNA from 1 species
GAUGAACGCUGGCGGCGUGCCUAAUACAUGCAAGUCGAGCGAACAGAUAAGGAGCUUGCUCCUUUGACGUUAGCGGCGGACGGGUGAGUAACACGUGGGUAACCUACCUAUAAGACUGGAAUAACUCCGGGAAACCGGGGCUAAUGCCGGAUAACAUUUAGAACCGCAUGGUUCUAAAGUGAAAGAUGGUUUUGCUAUCACUUAUAGAUGGACCCGCGCCGUAUUAGCUAGUUGGUAAGGUAACGGCUUACCAAGGCAACGAUACGUAGCCGACCUGAGAGGGUGAUCGGCCACACUGGAACUGAAACACGGUCCAGACUCCUACGGGAGGCAGCAGUAGGGAAUCUUCCGCAAUGGGCGAAAGCCUGACGGAGCAACGCCGCGUGAGUGAUGAAGGUCUUCGGAUCGUAAAACUCUGUUAUUAGGGAAGAACAAAUGUGUAAGUAACUGUGCACGUCUUGACGGUACCUAAUCAGAAAGCCACGGCUAACUACGUG